rnacentral:rRNA from 1 species
UUCCGGAUGAUCCUGCCGGAGGUUACUGUAUCGGUGUUCGCUAAGCCAUGCGAGUCAUAUGUAGCAAUACUGGCGUACUGCUCACUAACACGUGGAUAACCUGCCUUGGGACCGGCAUAACCCCGGGAAACUGGGGAUAAUUCCGGAUAACGCAUAUGUGCUGGAAUGCUUUAUGCGUAAAAUGGAUUCGUCUGCCCAAGGAUGGGUCUGCGGCCUAUCAGGUAGUAGUGGGUGUAAUGUACUACUAGCCAGCGACGGGUACGGGUUGUGAGAGCAAGAGCCCGGAGAUGGAUUCUGAGACAUGAAUCCAGGCCCUACGGGGCCCAGCAGGCGCGAAAACUUUACAAUGCGGGAAACCGUGAUAAGGGGACACCGAGUCCCAGCAUCAUAUGCUGGCUGUCCAGGUGUGUAAAAUACACCUGUUAGCAAGGGCCGGGCAAGACCGUGCCAGCCGCCGCGGUAACACCGGCGGCCCGAGUGGUGAUCGUGAUUAUUGGGUCUAAAGGGUCCGUAGCCGGUUUGGUCAGUCCUCCGGGAAAUCUGAUAGCUCAACUAUUAGGCUUUCGGGGGAUACUGCCAGACUUGGAACCGGGAGAGGUAAGAGGUAC